rnacentral:rRNA from 1 species
GAGGAAUAAGCAUCGGCUAACUCCGUGCCAGCAGCCGCGGUAAUACGGGGGAUGCAAGCGUUAUCCGGAAUCAUUGGGCGUAAAGCGCCUGUAGGUUGUUUAAUAAGUCUGUUGUUAAAGACUAGGGCUCAACCCUAGAAAAGCAAUGGAAACUACUAGACUAGAGUAUGGCAGGGGUAGAGGGAAUUUCUAGUGUAGCGGUGAAAUGCGUAGAUAUUAGAAAGAACACCGGUGGCGAAAGCGCUCUACUGGACCAUUACUGACACUCAGAGGCGAAAGCUAGGGUAGCAAAAGGGAUUAGAUACCCCUGUAGUCCUAGCCGUAAACGAUGGAUACUAGAUGUUGGAUUUAUUUUACAGUAUCGUAGCUAACGCGUUAAGUAUCCCGCCUGGGGAGUACGCUCGCAAGGGUGAAACUCAAAGGAAUUGACGGGGGCCCGCACAAGCGGUGGAGCAUGUGGUUUAAUUCGAUGCAACGCGAAGAACCUUACCAGGGCUUGACAUACUGCGAAUCUUUUUGAAAGAAGAGAGUGCCUUCGGGAAUGCAGAUACAGGUGGUGCAUGGCUGUCGUCAGCUCGUGUCGUGAGAUGUUGGGUUAAGUCCCGCAACGAGCGCAACCCUUGUUUUUAGUUACCAACUUGUUGGGUUUUCUAGAAAGACUGCCGGUGACAAACCGGAGGAAGGUGAGGAUGACGUCAAGUCAGCAUGCCCCUUAUGUCCUGGGCUACACACGUGCUACAAUGGCUAGGACAAAGAGUCGCAAGUUUGCAAAAACAAGCUAAUCUCGUAAACCUAGCCUAAGUUCAGAUUGUAGGCUGCAACUCGCCUACGUGAAG